rnacentral:rRNA from 1 species
UAUUGUAAGCCUCAAUAUCCCAAAGGUACCAGAUCCUACUUGAUUUUGGAAGCUAAGCAGGGUCAUCUUUGGUUAGUACUUGGAUGGGAGACUUCCAAUGAAUACUGGUAUUACAGGUU